UCUCCGUAGGUGAACCUGCGGAGGGAUCAUUACCGAGUGAGGGUCUCUUGGCCCGACCUCCAACCCUUUGUUGACCAACACCUGUUGCCUCGGGGGCGACCCGGUCUCCGCGCCGGCCCCCGGUGGACCACUUUAACGCCGUUUCUGUACGUCGGAGUACUUGACGAAUUAAUCAAAACUUUCAACAACGGAUCUCUUGGUUCUGGCAUCGAUGAAGAACGCAGC
rnacentral:misc_RNA from 1 species